rnacentral:rRNA from 1 species
GACGAACGCUGGCGGCGUGCUUAACACAUGCAAGUCGAACGGAAAGGCCCUGCUUUUUUGGGGUGCUCGAGUGGCGAACGGGUGAGUAACACGUGAGUAACCUGCCCUUGACUUUGGUAUAACUUCAGGUAACUGGGGCUAAUACCGGAUAGGAGCUCCUGCUGCAUGGUGGGGGUUGGAAAGUUUCGGCGGUUGGGGAUGGACUCGCGGCUUAUCAGCUUGUUGGUGGGGUAGUGGCUUACCAAGGCUUUGACGGGUAGCCGGCCUGAGAGGGUGACCGGCCACAUUGGGACUGAGAUACGGCCCAGACUCCUACGGGAGGCAGCAGUGGGGAAUAUUGAACAAUGGGCGGAAGCCUGAUGCAGCAACGCCGCGUGCGGGAUGACGGCCUUCGGGUUGUAAACCGCUUUCGCCUGUGACGAAGCGUGAGUGACGGUAAUGGGUAAAGAAGCACCGGCUAACUACGUG